UCAUGCUGGUCAUCACGCCCUGUGUCACACCCUGGGACGCAUCUGGGUCCCCACCCCGUGUGGAUGCCCUGAGCACAGGGCCCUUCCAGGGGUCAGCCAGCCUCUCCAGAGCGGGCUGGUGCUUCUGAGAGCUUUUGUCCAGCUCCUGGUGACCCCCUCCCAGCCCUCUUCCCCUACAGGGGACCUCCCAGAAGGCACACUUGUAGGUCCAGCUGGAGCCAGUGACGCCAAAGAGGAUAGAGGAGAACUGAUCCAAGUUGGACCAGAGCAAGGAUGAUAAUGCCGAUGAAGCAUGAAGAAGACAUUGUUGUGCGUCCAAAUCCUUCUUAGGAAAAGUAUAUUUGGCUAAAAAGAGAAAUCCGCGGAGUGACGAGAGCCAGUAACGCAAGGCCUCCCGUUGCCCCUUGGGUUCCAUCUUCGACUGCCCUGCGGCCAUUCUCGCUGCACCCGCCACCGCUUCCUGACUUGUCAAGGUCACCGGCAAGCCUCACGCUGCCUCGUCUCAGGACCACGUCUCUGCCGGGAGG